UGGGGAAUUUUGCACAAUGGGGGAAACCCUGAUGCAGCGACGCCGCGUGAUUUAGAAGGCCUUCGGGUUGUAAAAAUCUUUUCUAUGGGAAGAAAAUGACAGUACCAUAGGAAUAAGGACCGGCUAAUUACGUGCCAGCAGCCGCGGUAAUACGUAAGGUCCGAGCGUUGUCCGGAAUCAUUGGGCGUAAAGGGUACGUAGGCGGGUAAGCAAGUUAGAAGUGAAAUCCUAUAGCUCAACUAUAGUAAGCUUUUAAAACUGCUCAUCUUGAGGUAUGGAAGGGAAAGUGGAAUUCCUGGUGUAGCGGUGAAAUGCGCAGAUAUUAGGAGGAAUACCGGUGGCGAAGGCGACUUUCUGGCCAUAACCUGACGCUGAGGUACGAAAGCGUGGGUAGCAAACAGG
rnacentral:rRNA from 3 species